rnacentral:rRNA from 1 species
GAUGAACGCUGGCGGCGUGCCUAAUACAUGCAAGUCGAGCGAACGGACGAGAAGCUUGCUUUUCUGAUGUUAGCGGCGGACGGGUGAGUAACACGUGGAUAACCUACCUAUAAGACUGGGAUAACUUCGGGAAACCGGAGCUAAUACCGGAUAAUAUUUUGAACCGCAUGGUUCAAAAGUGAAAGACGGUCUUGCUGUCACUUAUAGAUGGAUCCGCGCUGCAUUAGCUAGUUGGUAAGGUAACGGCUUACCAAGGCAACGAUGCAUAGCCGACCUGAGAGGGUGAUCGGCCACACUGGAACUGAGACACGGUCCAGACUCCUACGGGAGGCAGCAGUAGGGAAUCUUCCGCAAUGGGCGAAAGCCUGACGGAGCAACGCCGCGUGAGUGAUGAAGGCCUUCGGAUCGUAAAACUCUGUUAUUAGGGAAGAACAUAUGUGUAAGUAACUGUGCACAUCUUGACGGUACCUAAUCAGAAAGCCACGGCUAACUACGUG